CUAAGGAAACAAUUAUCAUCUUCAGUUUUGAGAGACUUAAGAAAGUUUUUCAUUGUCACUUGCUUGCAAAUUGUAUUUGCAACAUUUUAAUCUUUUUAAGAUUAAGGGCCUAUAGCUCAGUUGGUUAGAGCACACGCCUGAUAAGCGUGAGGUCGGUGGUUCAAGUCCAUUUAGGCCCACCAUAACCACAAAUAGGCAAAAUCUUAAAAAAGCUCUUUGAAAAGUAGAUAAACGAAGGU
rnacentral:misc_RNA from 1 species